UAGGGAAUCUUCGGCAAUGGACGAAAGUCUGACCGAGCAACGCCGCGUGAGUGAAGAAGGUUUUCGGAUCGUAAAACUCUGUUGUUAGAGAAGAACAAGGACGUUAGUAACUGAACGUCCCCUGACGGUAUCUAACCAGAAAGCCACGGCUAACUACGUGCCAGCAGCCGCGGUAAUACGUAGGUGGCAAGCGUUGUCCGGUUUUAUUGGGCGUAAAGCGAGCGCAGGCGGUUUCUUAAGUCUGAUGUGAAAGCCCCCGGCUCAACCGGGGAGGGUCAUUGGAAACUGGGAGACUUGAGUGCAGAAGAGGAGAGUGGAAUUCCAUGUGUAGCGGUGAAAUGCGUAGAUAUAUGGAGGAACACCAGUGGCGAAGGCGGCUCUCUGGUCUGAAACUGACGCUGAGGCUCGAAAGCGUGGGGAGCAAACAGG
rnacentral:rRNA from 1 species